rnacentral:rRNA from 1 species
CACGUAGGGCGCAAGCGUUGUCCGGAAUUAUUGGGCGUAAAGAGCGCGCAGGCGGUCGGAUAAGUCGAAUGUGAAAGCCCCCGGCUCAACUGGGGAGGGUCAUUCGAUACUGUUCGACUCGAAGGCAGGAGAGGGAAGUGGAAUUCCCGGUGUAGUGGUGAAAUGCGUAGAUAUCGGGAGGAACACCAGUGGCGAAGGCGACUUCCUGGCCUGUUCUUGACGCUGAGGCGGCGAAAAGCUAGGGGAGCAAACGGG